AGACUAGUACAUGCAGUCGAGCGAAGCGAUGAUCACAGGAGCUUGCUCCUUUGACGUUAGCGGCGGACGCGGUUGAGUAACACGUGGAUAACCUACCUAUAAGACUGGGAUAACUCUCUGGGAAACCGGAGCUAAUACCGGAUAACAUAUUGAACCGCAUGGUUCAAUAGUGAAAGGCGGCUUUGCUGUCACUCUCAGAUGGAUCCGCGCCGUAUUAGCUAGUUGGUAAGGUGACGGCUUACCAAGGCAACGAUACGUAGCCGACCUGAGAGGGUGAUCGGCCACACUGGAACUGAGACACGGUCCAGACUCCUACGGGAGGCAGCAGUAGGGAAUCUUCCGCAAUGGGCGAAAGCCUGACGGAGCAACGCCGCGGGAGUGAUGAAGGUCUUCGGAU
rnacentral:rRNA from 1 species